CGAUAUCUAAAGGCACCGAUUCAAUAGUAGCAGCAUUGUCACUGGAGGAAAGAGAUUUUUAAUUUCAUGGGACUGUAAAAGAGGUUUGGAGGCGAAGGACAGGGAAACCUUGGCGGAAGGAACGAAGGAAAAAGUGAAAAUGGCAGAGGAGGAGGAGGAGGAGGGUAUUACAGUGCACAUUAAAGCUAAAAUCCAAAGCUGGAAUCCAAUCAGAGCACUAGGGCCUGCGGUACCACGGGAUAGCAGACCCUCCAUCCCCAUCCACACGACACAGGCCAGAAAAUUUGCUACCUUGUCUAUAUCGACUUGUACUCCUCCUCAAACAAUAACCCGGAAAAUGAUCCUUCACCUAGCUGCAUGCAUAUCGUGCAAUAUCGAUCAGGAUGAUUUACUUUAAAAAGGUUGUCAUAAAUGAUCAAAGGAUUUUCUCUGUCUUGUUAUACUUGCUGUCUGUCUAUCUCUUUUAAUUUGUGUUCUAUCUACGCAAUAAUAGGCCAAAGAAGUAUCCAUUCAAGUUUUGAUAUCUCUUUCUUGCCAGAACAUUCAUCCUAGCUCUAUGUAUUCAUCCAUUCGAGUUUGUUUGCGUAUGCAAAAUUAAUCCGAAAUCAUAGCCUCUUCCACGCAUAUAUAAACAAACAUAGCAUCGGAUAUCGCUACUAUGUAAGAAUUUCUCAAUGCAACGGGGCCAUGAUGCACCCUUCCUCGUACUUGAAAGGUUAAUCAAUCAAAUUAAAUUGGAAUUCGAGAGAGGAAGGAGCCUAGCUAGUCCCUUCUUUUCCCCUCAGAACAAAAUUUCAAAUGAAUGCUACAAGUGGCAAAUUAAUCCAUGCGGGAAAUUGUGUAUUUAACAAUUCCUUUUCGCCUGCCCCACUUAUCUCUAACCACAGGAGGCUGGAGCUUAGACUUGGACGUACAAACAAAUUAAUAAUGUAUCCAAAAAGAUUUUUGCGUGUCUCAAUUCUCUGCAUCUUCCGAAGGAAAGAGAGCCGAAAUCGCAGGGUUGAGCACGAGUCUACUACACCCUACAGUGCACGUGACUCACGUUUACCGACAUGAGUAAGUAGCAGUGCCAAGUUUUUUACCAGCUCCCAGCUCCCAGCUCCGCUCCAAAAAGCCGCAAAUUACAGCAGUGCUCUGCAAGAUUUUCUUUUGUUAAAAGUAGACUAAUGGGUAAUGCCAGCCCAAGAGUAAAUAUUUGCCUCUACUUUUUACUCCUGGUAAGACCGUACCCUUUCUUAAAGUUUGAUUUAUAUUUUUUUAGGGAGUUCAAUUUUGGGAGGCUUGAUUUAUAUUUACGUACUCAUGGCGUGUACUUUUAGAAUUUUAAUGCAAUUAUAUGAUUGUCGUCGUAUUUAUGACGUAAUUUACUGCAUGUUCAUCGAUUUGUUUUGUAAUUCCAUCGAUGAAGACAUUGUGAUGGAACGAUAAAAAAAAAAAAGUUUGAAUGAGUUGGCCUUGAACAAAAAUGUUUUCAUACUCGAACCAAUUCAUAUGUUAACCGGCUAUGCAGAAAAAUGUUCGAUAUUUUGCAGAAAUAAAGAAGACCACAGCAAUUUUUAUGUCCCAUGCCAUGGUGUAGGAACUUUUCUAGAAACUCGUGUACUUUUGUACUAUUACAGAAAGGGAAAGAGUAGUGCAUAUUAUUACACGGAAAUCUUUUUUUUUUUUUUUUUUUUGGAAUUAUUCGUUGUACUAUAAUUAGCGGAGUGUGCAAUUUAAUAAUACCUUGGGAAAAAGGCGAUUGUAUUGGACUUGGGAUAUUGCCCUAUUGGCACGUCACGCAUUUACCCGACAGAAUUUGGUACAUUUAUAGGUAUAAAAAGGCAGGACCAAUUAUACAGCAACAGCUAAUUGGCUGAAAAUUCUUUCAACAAAUAUGCUUUCCAAAAGUCAAAUUCCCCUCCAGCCCCUGCCGAAGUUGUCGAAUGCAAACACGAAGAGAAUCGUAAGAUGGGAAUCUGACCGUUGAUCGUAGUAAUAAGAAGAGGAGAAGCAUUUUAGCCCAUUGAACAGUGGACUGUAGCAUCAGAUUUUCCUCCUGAAUACCUUUCGAUUUCAAUUUUCCCCGUGCUAAAAGACCAUAGUGUGAAAAAAAGAGUUGACAACACAAGGAAGGGUUGUUGGUUGUUAAAUCGGCAAUCAUACGGUUGUUGGAAUUAAAUGAGGUUUGCACAAAAGAUACGCGACACCCCCUUCACCAGGUACUAAGCAGGUUUUUUUUUUUUUUUGAAGGAAAGGAGGUGGUGAGAACAAAAGCUUGCUUCUCAAAGUAUCAUAACACACACACACUCUUGUUAAUUCUAGUGAUAAACUGGUACUAUAUGUUUGUUUGUUUAUUCGUGACUUUCUUUCUUUCUUUCUUUCUUUCUUUCUUUCUUGGAGUAUGAAUAUAUACAUUUUUUUUUUUUUUUGGGUUUACAGCCAUUCAGAUUUUUUUACAUACAUAAUAACCUACAACUAGAAUAAUUGGAGCAGAAUUUGGAGGGAAGCAGUGCUUGAAGAUGUCAUAAUAGUUACUCCUCUGUUCCAUUUUGAUUCCCACACUACAGGAGGGAGGGAGAGGGUCGGGCGAGUGCGUAGAAUUUUUUAAACAAGGUCACAUUUAAUUGUGACAAAUUGGCGGGAGUCGAGCCUUAAUGUAUUGGUGGUGGCCACCAGCCUACAUUUUUUUAAUUGAAAAGCGGACUACAAUUCAAAAUUGGACAGAGGAAGUAUUUAAUGACAACGUUUGCAUUAGUUGCAUGACUAUUUUAUUUAUCAUCCCAGCCACGCAGCAUCAGUAAGUUGUAGUAACUAGUAGUAUUACCGCCUAAGGUAUUGAUGAAUUAUUAAAAGCUCUAAUGAGAACUAUUGACGUGAGGUCGUACCAAAAGGUCCAAUUAAUGUUUGGAUAGUAAACUUAUCCCAAAUAAUAAUAUUUCAUUUAAAAUUUUAAAAAAUAGUUUUAAUCCAUUUUUUAUAUUUUCAACUAUCUUUUUAUCUCACAUACAUCAUCAAAAAGUGCUACAGUAAUUAUUCCAAAUAAUAUUGGACAUCCAAACAUGAUAUAAUAAUAUCAUCUCAUAGCUACUUAAGCUGGGGCCAAUACAAUAAUAUAUAUUCCAAAAAUGAGUGUGGCAUACUGAAUCAAAGAGACGAGUGAGUGAGUAUGAGAGACACUCGUCUCUUUUUUACAGGACACGGUGUUCUGAAGAUUUAACAGAGUAGUAUCUUUUCCCGGUAUGAUGAUGGUCUGUCUGUGGUCCUAAAAAUUUGGACCAAACUGAAAAUCAUUUUAUUCAGGAUGGGAAUUGGGAUGGGAGUGUGUUGGAACUUUUGCGUCGCGGGUAACUCUCAUUUUGCCAGGGACCGUAAAAUAGAUGUCUUCCUCCUCAAAUCACAAUUAAAUGGAUAUCAGAGAUUUCGACACAGGAAUAUCGCAACUACAAAACUUAGCUGACCAGUAGAAUGUGAAUCAAGACGUCAAAGAAUUUCUGCUACUCAAAAAAAAAGCAUUAGAACAAGAAGCAAGAAAAAGCACAAGUGUUGUGUAGUCUUGUUGAUUAAAGAUCAAAUGAGGCAGCAUCUUUUCCCCAUGAAACUAGAACACUAUAUGUGUGAAACAAGUCAGUCACACCAUCUAUAUUGUCUAAUUCGAAGUCAUACAAAUGAACGCACGGUCUCUGUUAGGUCUGCCUAUUCACAAAUAUUAUGCUCAGGUCAGGGAAGCAGAUUUAUGUAGGCGGCCAUUGUGGCCCGAGCUGGAAACGGCAUUGACUAUUGUUAGCAGAUGACACCGGGUAUGAAGCAAAGCAUAGACCGACAGCCGAGGAGUUAGGAGCCUUUGAUGAAGGAGAGGAAGCGUUGGAAGCCGAAGAUGAGAAUCCUGAUGAUGCUGCAGUUGAAAAAACUGUCACUGGGGUAGCACUUAACUGACUUUGCAUUUGCCACGCCCAUUUUUGGGCCCUGUGAAGAACCAACUUCGAACCUAUUCUCAAUUACUCUUUCCUGCCAAAUCACUUGUAACUGUUAUAUUGCUGAUCGAUUCAAAGCAGGUUGGUUCAUAAACCACAGAUAAAAAAAAAACAAAUAUCACGGGAAAAAUUAAUCAGCUCCACAGUCUAUUAACUGUCUCUGCAAUCAGUACACAACUAGCUAAAAUGGUGCAUGCUUUUUGAGCUCGACAAGAAGAGUGUGGUAUGCACUUCACAGCAAACUCCAGUUGUUUCAUAGUGCAAAGUUUCCAGAACUAAAUACUAGUGUCAUUACUCCACUUGCAAGACUUUAUUCUGUUAUUACUGAAUUAAUUGCUGCCACUUGAUUAAUCAUCAAAAUAAACAGAAUCACUCUUUAAAGUGUUAUCAGGCUAAUACUCAAUUAAUUUUUUUUUUUUUUUGGCAAUAUACAAAACAUAAAUUGAUGGUCAGAUAUCAGGGAAAAGAAUCUCAGAGAGCAUUUAAUGAGCAAAAUCAAAAGAAUUAACUGAAGCAGAAGAUAUACAAAAAGAAUUCAGAAUCCUACCUUGUAGUUGGGCAUAGAGUUGGAAUAUACACCAGUCCACAAUUGAGGGCGCUCUGGUGUCAAUGGUAGUCCUUUAAGCGGUGGACUGUUUACGGUUGUACUAGAGAUGUCAACCUGGGGUUAAGCAAAACAAAAGAGAUUAAUAAGAUCCGUACAGGAAUUAAUACAUAAGUGAAAAUUGAAGCAAGUUGUUUCCAGAUAAUAUUGGAUGGGACCAAAAUGCUUGACUACCAAGUUCUCCCAGCAUCAUAUAUAAUGAUGCAACAAAAUUAAGGAAGACAUUACUCUGAAGAGUUAUGAGUUCGAGUAGCAUGGCAAAUUACAUAUACACCUAUAACCAUGCUUUUCAAUACCUUCGAUAUCCUUGCCUUUUGGACAUCAUAAGGAUGGUAAUGUACAUCCCUUGAACUCCCAUUUUCCUUUCCAGAAGAAGUUGAAAUCCCCAAAUUCAGAUCAAGAUCAUAGUGGCUUCCUGCAAUGGUACCAUCAAUAAGUUGAUGACUCAGCUCAUCUCGUUAAAUGAAACUGCUCAUAGCAAGCAUAUUCUAGAUGACCACGAACAUAAUUUCAAAAAAUGAAAGAAUCGUUGAGUCCACCUUCGUUCUGGGAAUGAGGUUGCACCAUAUUAGAAGGCAUUUCAGGUUCAUAGGUACUCGGCUCGAAGUUGGUAACAGCUUCCCUUCCGUUACAUUUGAUAGCUGCCUUGUCAUAAGCCCUAAUUUGCAGAAAAUCAAAAGGGAGACACACGAGUUGGAUGAUACCCUAUUGAGGUUGAGAAUGCAGGGUAAAUAAUUCAGUAUCAGGGAGAAGGUAAUUCAUGAUCAUUAGGACCUUGCAGCUUCAAUUUCACUGUCGAAUAACCCAAGAUAUAUAUACCUGCAAAGCAAUCAUUGCAAUCCCAGCAAUAAAUUUCAGGGUUCCCAGCGAUCUUUUUUUUUCAAAUUAGUAUUCAGUGAUCAACAUAUACUGUUUCCAAUUCCACACCAAUAAACAGACUAAAUGGUAAGCCUAACUUCUAGCACAAAGGAUAAGCAAUAAAAUUCAACUUAAAAGAAGAACGAAAUAGUUGCUCACUUUUUGCCAAGGAACUGUCCCAUUCGAGCUUCCCAUCUCCCGCACUUGUGUAGUGUCACUCCUCUGUAUUUCGAGCUCCCCCUCGAGAAACCAGUACUCUGUCUUCGGAGUAUAUGGACAAAUUCCUCUUUAGUCAGAUUCUUCAUCUGCAUUAGUUAAAUGCGAAAGGAAUCAUGACCCUCACAAGAUCAAACACCAUGUCCAGGAAUGUAGAUGACAGAUUAACCUAGCUCAACUUCCAUCAGACCAACUUUUAACAGUUCCUAAUAGAAACAUCGGAAAGACAAUUAACCUUAGUUAGCUAACCUGUUUCAUAUCUUCCUCAUAAUCACAGAUGGUAAAAUUGAUAUCCGCAUCAAUGCCCCGAAACUUAAUGGCAGCUCUAUCGUACGCCCUGACACCAUAAAAUUAAGCCAUCAAUAAAUGUAAGCUUCAAUUAUAACAGAAAGAAGUGGUCAAUGAUUAUCAUAUGCUGUGAGACUAAAUUUACCUAGCCGCGGCAUGAGCAGUGUCAAAUCCACCUAAGACAAUCGAAAACCCAAAAAAAACUCAUCAAUACUCGCUAAAUUAGCAUAAGCUUACACACAACUUUUUCAUCCCAAGGCGUAAGAAAAACAGAAAAAUGACAAAAAUCAACCACAUGAUCAAAAUAAUUAGCCGUACCCAAAUAUACUUGCUUCCCACAGUCCCUGCACCCAAAAAAAAAAAAAAGAAUUAAGUACGUAAAUAAUCAGGUCGAAACUAUUUCAGCAGCGGUAGAAAUAAUAAUAAUUGCAUCGAAUUGGGCAUAAACCAAGAAAAAUCAAUAGAUGACAACUAACCAAAUAUGAGAUUCCCAUCUUCCAGUUCUUCUGUAAAAAGUAACUCCUCUGUACUGUGAGCUUCUAGACCUCGGCCCUCUUCUACUCUUCUUCACUUGCUGCUGCUGUUGUUGUGGCGGUUGUUUUGGUUGGUGACUAAAAGAAAGAUCCGCCCAAUUACUGGCAUUACUUCUGGCCUGAUCGGGAGCUCUGCCCGGCCCGAGCUCAGCCACCGGGAACAGGUUCUUGGUGACGAAAUCAGGCUGAUGAGCGGCAGUCAUCCGGCCACCAAAGACCACCUGAUUCUCGUCCUCACCUUCAACUUCCUCGCCUCGAUUGGCCCCGUUGACUUUGAGGAUGUCGAAGUUGAAGGUGAGGAGGUCGGAGGAGGAGUUGGCGCCGGCACGUGCAGAGCACGUGUCGUCGUCAACGGUGGUGGCAUUGCUAGAAGCCUCAGCAGCUUCAGCAUUCACUACAGAUGAAUCGGAUGUCUCCUCGGCCGAUUCAUACUCUCCCAUACCUUCUUCAAAGAUGCCUGCCUCCUCAUCAUUUACUACACUCAAGUUUAGAUCCAACAUAUUCUUCUUUCUUCACUAUCAAGAUAUGUAACUGUAUUACUAAUUGUACUAAUUCUUAAACUAAACCCAGAAAAUUUCCACAACUGGGACGGAUCAGAGAAGUAAUUGUUGUAGAAAAAGACUAAAAAUUAUUAAGAGCUGAUCAGAGCUAAAGAAUGAUCAUUGAAAGUUCAACUUUGAAUAAAACCCAGUUUCACUUUCACCCCACUAACUUGUUUCCCCCCCACUUUAGGCUUUCAUAGAUAUAUAGAAGGGAAAAAAAGAGACUAAAGGCCUAUACAUACUGUUUGUUGGAGGAAAGUAAAGAAUUGUUGGAAAUGGGGAGAAGAAUCGGAAGCAGCUGAGGCUAUAUAUAAGGAAGAGAAAGAGGAGGAGGAGGAGAGAAGGAGGGCAGUAGAAACGUGACGAGAAAUAUAAAAUUUGUUGAGAAGAGCAGAGAAAGGUUGCAAUUGCAGCUGCCUCUCCUCAGCAGCUACUUGUCUUCUUUCUUCUUCUU
rnacentral:lncRNA from 1 species